UACGUAGGGUGCAAGCGUUGUCCGGAAUUAUUGGGCGUAAAGAGCUCGUAGGCGGUUCGUCGCGUCUGCCGUGAAAGUCCGGGGCUCAACCCCGGAUCUGCGGUGGGUACGGGCAGACUAGAGUGAUGUAGGGGAGACUGGAAUUCCUGGUGUAGCGGUGAAAUGCGCAGAUAUCAGGAGGAACACCGAUGGCGAAGGCAGGUCUCUGGGCAUUACCUGACGCUCAUGCACGACAGCGUGGGGAUCAAACAGG
rnacentral:rRNA from 1 species